rnacentral:rRNA from 1 species
GAUGAACGCUGGCGGAGUGCCUAACACAUGCAAGUCGAGCGGCAGCGCGAGUAGUUUACUACUUGGCGGCGAGCGGCGGACGGCUGAGUAACGCGUGGGAACAUGCCCCAAAGUGAGGAAUAACUGCCCGAAAGGGUAGCUAAUGCCGCAUACGAUCUUCGGAUUAAAGGAUUUAUCCGCUUUGGGAGUGGCCUGCGUACGAUUAGAUAGUUGGUGAGGUAAUGGCUCACCAAGUCUACGAUCGUUAACUGGUUUGAGAGGAUGAUCAGUCAGACUGGAACUGAGACACGGUCCAGACUCCUACGGGAGGCAGCAGUGAGGAAUCUUCCACAAUGGACGAAAGUCUGAUGGAGCAACUCCGCGUGCAGGAUGAAGGCCUUCGGGUCGUAAACUGCUUUAUGAGUGAAGAAUAUGACGGUAACGUCAUGAAUAAGGGUCGGCGUAACUACGUGCCAGCAGCCGCGGUAAU